rnacentral:rRNA from 1 species
GACUCCUAUAGGGGCGAUUGAAUUUAUUCGCCGCGAAUUCGCCCUUAGAGUUUGAUUAUGGCUCAGGAUGAACGCUGGCGGCGUGCUUAACACAUGCAAGUCGAACGAAGCGAUCAGGAGGAAAUUUUCGGAUGGAAUCCGGAUUGACUGAGUGGCGGACGGGUGAGUAACGCGUGGGUAACCUGCCUCAUACAGGGGGAUAACAGUUAGAAAUGACUGCUAAUACCGCAUAAGCGCACGGGGAUGCAUAUCUUUGUGUGAAAAACUCCGGUGGUAUGAGAUGGACCCGCGUCUGAUUAGCUAGUUGGUGAGGUAACGGCUCACCAAGGCGACGAUCAGUAGCCGACCUGAGAGGGUGACCGGCCACAUUGGGACUGAGACACGGCCCAAACUCCUACGGGAGGCAGCAGUGGGGAAUAUUGCACAAUGGGGGAAACCCUGAUGCAGCAACGCCGCGUGAGUGAAGAAGUAUUUCGGUAUGUAAAGCUCUAUCAGCAGGGAAGAAAAUGACGGUACCUGAGUAAGAAGCCCCGGCUAACUACGUGCCAGCAGCCGCGGUAAUACCUAGGGG